GUGAAUCAUCAAAUUUUUGAACGCAAAUUGCGCUCCCUGGUAUUCCGGAGAGUAUGCCUGUUUGAGGGUCAGUAUAAAUAAAAAUCGGUUUGGUUUCUGCCUUUUGUGGUGACGGGCUGGAUUUGGGUCUUUGUGCCUUCGGUUAAGUGACCUAGAAUUUUGCUUGAUUUUUUUCGAAUAUAUUUAAAUGAUUUUAGUUACAUUUGCGUUAUC
rnacentral:misc_RNA from 1 species